AGAGUUUGAUCCUGGCUCAGGACGAACGCUGGCGGCGUGCCUAAUACAUGCAAGUCGAGCGGACUGAUUCGGAGCUUGCUCCGUUGAUGUCAGCGGCGGACGGGUGAGUAACACGUGGGUAACCUGCCUGGCAGACUGGGAUAACGCUUGGAAACGAGUGCUAAUACCGGAUAGUCUUCUGAACCGCAUGGUUCGGAAGGGAAAGAGGCUUUCGCCUCACUGUCAGAUGGACCCGCGGCGCAUUAGCUAGUUGGUGAGGUAACGGCUCACCAAGGCGACGAUGCGUAGCCGACCUGAGAGGGUGACCGGCCACACUGGGACUGAGACACGGCCCAGACUCCUACGGGAGGCAGCAGUAGGGAAUCUUCCACAAUGGGCGAAAGCCUGAUGGAGCAACGCCGCGUGAGUGAUGAAGGCCUUUGGGUUGUAAAACUCUGUCUUCUGUGACGAACAAGCCUGUGAGUGGAAAGCUCAGGCCCUGACGGUAACAGAGGAGGAAGCCACGGCUAACUACGUGCCAGCAGCCGCGGUAAUACGUAGGUGGCAAGCGUUGUCCGGAAUCACUGGGCGUAAAGCGCGCGCAGGCGGCGAUCUACGUCUGGGGUGAAAGCCCGGAGCUCAACUCCGGGACUGCCUUGGAUACGGGAUCGCUUGAGAAUUGGAGAGGCAAGGGGAAUUCCACGUGUAGCGGUGAAAUGCGUAGAGAUGUGGAGGAACACCUGUGGCGAAGGCCCUUGCUGGCCAAUUUCUGCGCUGAGGCGCGAAAGCGUGGGGAGCAAACAGGAUUAGAUACCCUAGUAGUCC
rnacentral:rRNA from 1 species